rfam:Schistosoma rodhaini strain Burundi genome assembly, scaffold: SROB_scaffold0000461
AUCCAUCUGACGAGUCCUAAAAAGUAGGACGAAAUACCGUAUCCUGAAU